rnacentral:rRNA from 1 species
AUUGAACGCUGGCGGCAGGCCUAACACAUGCAAGUAGAGCGAGCGGCGGACGGGUGAGUAAUGUCUGGGAAACUGCCUGAUGGAGGGGGAUAACUACUGGAAACGGUAGCUAAUACCGCAUACCAUCAGAUGUGCCCAGAUGGGAUUAGCUAGUAGGUUGGGUAACGGCUCACCUAGGCGACUAUCCCUAGCUGGUCUGAGAGGAUGACCAGCCACACUGGAACGGAGACACGGUCCAGACUCCCACGGGAGGCAGCAGGGGGGAAUAUGGCACAAUGGGCGCAGGCUUGCUGCAGCAAGGCCGCGUGUGUGAAGAGGGCCUUCGGGUUGUAAAGCACUUUCAGCGGGGAGGCGUUACCUGCAGAAGAAGCACCGGCUAACUCCGUGCCAGCAGCCGCGGUAAUUC